GAAUGUUGGUGGUGGACCAGUCCGGUGAGGUCCACCGGAGAAGAUGAUCGGAGCCCUAGCUCUGGUGGUGUGUUGGCACUCUCCAAGCCCUUUGAUCAUGAUCCCACAUUUUAAUCUCAUCUAUCCAUGUUGAUUACCAAGUAUGCAACACGUUGACUGUGGAACACCAUGGACAUGAUGUGCAUGGCCAUCAAAUCUGCCACCUCAAUUAAUGAGGGAGAUCUGAUGACCCUUGUUUUUUCUAUUUUGUUUUUAAUU
rnacentral:lncRNA from 1 species